AGUGGGAUAGCUGGGUCAAAUAGUGGUUCCAUUCCAAGUUUUCUAAGGAAUCUCCAUACUACUUUCCAUAUUGGCUGCACCAAUUUGCAGUUCCAUAAGCAAU
rnacentral:pre_miRNA from 1 species